AGUUAUGAACUGUCUAAAGCUGCCCGUUUAAAACUUGAACCCUAAGUAGCCUGGCUCCAGAGCCUCCCAAAGUUAGGCUCUGGAGCCUCCCAAACUUUUAGCCACUACUCUAUGCUGCUUCUCUGUUCCAGGUGCACAGGAUGGGAAAUUUGCCCUUUUGCAGGAGUGAGAAUGCUCAUCCAUACACAUGCCAGAGAUCCUCUUCCUUGACGAAGCAAGAUUCUAUGUUGAGGCCCAUGCCAAGGAAUUGAAGAAAAUCUAUGACCAACAGCCAUCUAGGAAAUGAGGCUCUCAGCCCAACAGAUCAAAAGGAACUGAAUCCUAUCAACGACCACGCACUUUUUCCUCAGUAUGAAUGUCAUCUUCAUCAUUACUAUGAUCAUGAUCACCUUGAUUCAGAACCAUUUCAGCUGCUUCAGGAUUGGUCAGUGAAUGAACAAAUGGAACCUCAAUGUUAAAAAACUUUGUCAAUAUGCACUUCUACCAGCUUACUGAUUGAUAUAGUUUGAAUGUCCCCUCAAAAUCUCAUCUUGAGAUGUAAUCCCCAGUGUUGGAGGUGUUUGGAUCAUGGGGGCAGAUCCCUCAUGAAUGGCUUGAGCCAUCCCCUUAGUGGUAAGUGAGCUCUCAUUCUCAGUUCACAUGAGAUCUGGUCAUUUAAAAGUGUCUGGCACUUCCUCCUAAUUCUCUUUCUCUCUCGAUCCCAUUUUCUCCAUGUGAGAUGCCUGCUGCUCCUUUGCCUUCCACCAUCAAUAAAGGCUCCCUGAGGGCCCCCCAGAAGCCAAGCAGAUGCUAGCACCCUGCUUCCUGUACAGCCUGCAGUAGAGCCAUGUGCCAAUCAAGCCUCUUUAUAAAUUACAUAGUCUCAGAUGUUUCUUUAUUGCAGUGCAUGAACAGCCUAAUAUACUGAUAGGCUCUGAAUGCAUAUUUUCUGCAUAUGAGAGGAGGUCCAAAAUCAUUUUUUUCACACUUGACAUAUGGGAAUUCUCCAAAGCACCAAUUUGUUCAUCAUCAUCACUGAACAUAGUCACAGACAAGAGGUUGUACCAGGCAUGCAAAACUGUGUCUUUAGUCACUACAUUCCAAGUCUCGACAACAGCAUAUACAGUAUUCUUCAUGUUAAACUCCUUUUCAAAAACGUCCACUCCCAUACCUCU